rnacentral:lncRNA from 1 species
CGGCAGAAUAUUAAGUGACAGGUCAAGAACAACAACGGAAAUAACAGAAAUAACGGAAAUAAAGGAAAUAACGUAAUUAACGGAAAUAACGGAAAUAACCCACACAGAGACUGAAACUUACGGCAGAAAAUCAGGUAACAGGUCAAGAACAACAUCGGAAAUAACGGAAAUAAUAAGGGAAAGAACGGAAAUAACCUCCACAGAGACAGAAACACAGAGCAGAAAAUUAUGUGACAGGUCAAAAAUAACAACAAAAAGAAAGGAAAGAACGGAAAAAAAGGAAAAAACGGAAAAAACUAAAAGAACGUAAAUAACCUCCAGAGAGACAGAAACAUACGGCAGAAAAUUAGGUGACAGGGCAAGAACAACAACGGAAAUAACGGAAAUAACGGAAAUAACGGAAAGAACGGAAAGAACGGAAAGAACGCAAAGAACGCAAAAAACGCAAAGAACGCAAAGAACGCAAAGAACGCAAAGAACGCAAAGAACGCAAAGAACGCAAAGAACGCAAAGAAC